rnacentral:tRNA from 1 species
AAGCAAGAAACUCUAAAGUGUUAUGGUUUCGGCCCAUAAAUAGGUAUACUUCCACAUACCCUCGCUUU